GGGGUUGUGGCUCAGCAGUAGAGCGCUCACCUUGCACGUGCGAAGCCCUGGGUUCGAUCCUCAUCACCACA
rnacentral:tRNA from 1 species